CGCGGCCCACCCAGUCCGCGAGAACCGGGCAGAUCGCCUCGACGGUACGGAGGCCGGCCGACGGGUCCGCCAAACGACGAGACCACGCCUCCAGCACGGACUGCCGAUAUUGGAGCCCCCGCGCUCCGGCUGCACUUGCGCUAGGGCGCGCCGCCUCGUAGGAGACUGUGAGGUGCUGUGGCAGGUCCAACCAGAGACGUCAACGUGUGUUCCAGAGCUUCAGUGUGUUACAGAUAAGUGGUUUUGGCUUCCCCUUUAUGUUCCAUUCAGGGUCAGAAUGUAGUCUUAUAAAACAAAGUCAUAGUAAUUUAUUCAAUGGUAAGCGGUUUCAUGAACAAGUCACUCUUUGAUCUGAAAGUAACUUAGACCAAUCAUGAUGGCAAGAGCACUUAGGGGAUAUUCAACUCGCCCUUAAUAGUGCACGUUGUCGAGUAACAGGGUUUACUCCAAUAGAAUAGACGUUUGCCGUUCAGGGUAGUUCACUUGAAAUAUCUUAAAGUUUCAACAGAGUGAUAAUCCCUCUAGAUUAGAUCUUGAUUUAGCACGGUCGAAGACCGGCGAAAACAUAAAAAAAGGGCACAAACAGAAGCUUGGUUUAGUCGAGGCAAAGCUAAAGUCAAACUCUUUUCCGCUGGGGAUUUUGUUUUCGUAAGUUGACCGAAAAUGUAAAGGUCCCUUCAACAUUACUGCAGUUUUGGAAAACGAUAGGUAUAAAUUGAGACAUGUAAAUAGUUCUAAUAGAGUGUACAAAUUUCCCCAUGAAAACUUACGUGAAAUACCUCGAGGCCCGUCAGGCCUACUAGAAAUUUCUGAAAAUUAUAGUGACGAUGACGUGACGGCGUACACAGAUGGGUUAAUUAAUCUUGUUCAUGAAACUGAUCUUAAUGAUGACGACUCUAUCACUGACAAUAGAAGCGACAUUUUUGUCCGCAAAUAGCGAUACAGCAAACAUAGUCUGUGGGUAGUGAUACAAUGUCUGUAAGCUCAGGCACCUCAGGUGCAGGUGUUGGAAAUGUAGAAAACGAUGGUCGGUCUCGCACUAUUUCUGAAGAAAUUCCGUAUAAAUGUUCUGGUUUAAGAAAUGUUUUAACAAACGCUACCGUACACGCAGAUUAAAAAAAAAAAAAAAAAGAAUUGUAUGUGGCUAGAGAGAUGUUAAUCCGGACUAGCAAAAAAAAA
rnacentral:lncRNA from 1 species